CAGUCGCCGCGGUAAAACGUAGGGUGCAAGCGUUAAUCGGAAUUACUGGGCGUAAAGCGUGCGCAGGCGGUUAUAUAAGACAGAUGUGAAAUCCCCGGGCUCAACCUGGGAACUGCAUUUGUGACUGUAUAGCUAGAGUACGGCAGAGGGGGAUGGAAUUCCGCGUGUAGCAGUGAAAUGCGUAGAUAUGCGGAGGAACACCGAUGGCGAAGGCAAUCCCCUGGGCCUGUACUGACGCUCAUGCACGAAAGCGUUGGGAGCAAACAGGAUUAGAUACCCCGGUAGUCCCUGUCUCUUAUAC
rnacentral:rRNA from 1 species